GCCCAAACCCUAGCCCUAAAUUUUCUAUUUUCCAAUUCUUGCACUAAACUCACAAUUUAAUGUUUUAAGGGUUUAAUUCAUGUCAAGGGCAGCUUAUACACUUAUUUAAAUCAAAGAAAAUCAUCACAACCCUAAGAACACCAUGGCUGCUGAAAUUAGGGUGAGGCAUACAAGGGGUUUUCCUUCCAAAUUUCUUACAAUUAUCAACUUAACUCAACCCCAUAAACAUGAAUUAAAGGAAAAAGAAAGUGGUUGGACACUAACCUCAAUUGAUCACUCUUCCAAAUUUCCAAAUCUUCGUUUUCUUCUCUUCUUUUUGCUGCCUAGAGGUCAUUCAAGGUGCAAUGAAGAGUUUUAGUGAAGGGAGUCUAGGGUUUUAUGGUGGAAAAAUUGAAGUUUGACAAGAGAGAGAAGAGAGCUUUAU
rnacentral:misc_RNA from 1 species